rnacentral:rRNA from 1 species
GUAACACGUAGGUAACCUGCCCAUGUGCCCGGGAUAACUUCUGGAAACGGACGCUAAACCGGAUAGGUAGCAGACAAGCAUUUGACUGCUAUUAAAGUGGCUAAGGCCAUGAACAUGGAUGGACCUGCGGUGCAUUAGCUAGUUGGUGAGGUAACGGCCCACCAAGGCGACGAUGCAUAGCCGGCCUGAGAGGGCGGACGGCCACAUUGGGACUGAGACACGGCCCAAACUCCUACGGGAGGCAGCAUG